GCUGCAGAGCAGAAUGCACUGAGGCCCCAGUGACAGAACUGGGACAGGCCUCAACUGGGUCUCAGGAAGAAGAUUUCUGAGUUCCCUCUGGAGGAGAUGAGCUGCCCAUCCCUGGGGCUGGGCAAGCAGGUGCUGGCUUUCUUAUAUCAAAGAGGCCACAGAUAGGAUUCUCAAUCUGGAAAAAAGUUAAUAACAUCUACGCUUUAUUUUGUUUCUUCCAUGUUUCAAGCAUUGAAAUAGCCACAUUAUUUAUAUUGUUUCCAACCCUCGUUAUACAUAUGACUCCAUUUGGACAUUCACAGACUAUAGCUUGAAUGACCUACCUAAGGACACAGCUAAUAAAGGAGAGCCAGGCCUGGACCCUAUCUCCCUCUGACUUUGAAGUUGUGCUCUCCCUCCAACGUCCUCCAAUGUACAUUUCUCCCAGAAUGUGAUUCUAAGAUUAAGUCAGAGCCAGGAUCAAAAGCAUGCUUUGAACAGGUAUGUAAGUGGGUAUUAGAAGACCAGCUCUUCUGGUAUUACACAGAACUUCGGGGAGAAACAUCUCACUCCAGUCAGAAUGGCAGUUAUCAAGAAUACAAACAACAGUAAGUGUUGGCAACAAAGUGUAGGAAGACAAAGUGUGCAGAAGCCCUUUACCAAAGCUACAGUAGGAAAAGCACCCCACAACAGGCACAAAGCAUGCACCCAGGUCAGACUUAUACUCCAUCCAAGACCCUCUCCAGAAAAUGUGGCCACCAGCCCACCUGUCCAUACUAUAUACCAAGGCACCCCACACACACUCCCUGCAGCUGAGUUCCAUGGCCCGCUCCACUCUGUCAUUAUCCCUGACACAUUGGCACAGGCUACUCGGGAAUGCUUGUCAGUACAUCCAGAUGGCAGCCAUCCCUUCGUGAACCCCAUCAAGCCCGCUGGGGAUGCUACUGCAGACUGUGGACCUCACUUCCAUUCACCUACUUCGAACUUGGGUCUCCUUUCCCUACCCUCCACUGCCCAACACAGCCCUCUAGUUAGCCUGGGUGGGUGUGUCUGUCUCCUCCUCU
rnacentral:lncRNA from 1 species